UGGGGAAUUUUGGACAAUGGGCGAAAGCCUGAUCCAGCAAUGCCGCGUGUGUGAAGAAGGCCUUCGGGUUGUAAAGCACUUUUGUCCGGAAAGAAAUCCUUGGCUCUAAUACAGUCGGGGGAUGACGGUACCGGAAGAAUAAGCACCGGCUAACUACGUGCCAGCAGCCGCGGUAAUACGUAGGGUGCAAGCGUUAAUCGGAAUUACUGGGCGUAAAGCGUGCGCAGGCGGUUUGCUAAGACCGAUGUGAAAUCCCCGGGCUCAACCUGGGAACUGCAUUGGUGACUGGCAGGCUAGAGUAUGGCAGAGGGGGGUAGAAUUCCACGUGUAGCAGUGAAAUGCGUAGAGAUGUGGAGGAAUACCGAUGGCGAAGGCAGCCCCCUGGGCCAAUACUGACGCUCAUGCACGAAAGCGUGGGGAGCAAACAGGAUUAGAUACCCUGGGUAGUCCACGCCCUAAAACGAUGUCAACUAGUUGUUGGGGACUUCAUUCCUUGUAACGUAGCUAACGCGUGAAGUUGACCGCCUGGGGAGUACGGUCGCAAGAUUAAAACUCAAA
rnacentral:rRNA from 1 species